AUUCCCCAGUAUAGGGGGACGCUAGAGCAGUGAGGCAGGAGUGGGUGAGUGGUUGGGACAGCACCCUCAUACUGGUAAAGACAGCAACAUCCACGCAAGUGCUUAACACUCUACAGUUUGGAUCCUGGUUUGAAUAUAACGGACAAAGGAACUAAGUGGCAGCACUCAUCUCUCUACUUCCUGACUCUGGACACAAUACGAUGAGCCUCAACAUCUCCAGUUGUCAUGACUUCCCUGCCCUGAUGGACUGAGCUCUCGAAUUAUACUCAAAAUAAACCCUUCUUCACACAUGUAUUCAAUAUAAAGAAGUUAAUGCAUAAUACACUUACCGACAGUAAAAAUCUGCCAAGAAGAAAGGUAUCAAGUAACGCCCUGCGUGACUGGUCUGAUUAAUUGUACUCAAGUCUAGCGUACAUACAAAUGACAUGUAGAAUGUGAUAAAGCAAAGCUUGCAAGGAACUUCACUUUUGGUGUCUGAAUCUAUAUGUUCUAACCACUGGUUACAUCAGUACCACAUCUGACCCCAACCCUUUAUCAACAACCAAAAUUCAACUGAGACGUCACCUCCCAUUGGACCAUUCCUUUGGAAGUCUCAGCUUAUAUUUGGUUUCUGUAACUCUAAGACAGCUUGAAAGACAGAAUGUACAUGAUAGGUUGGACAGAGAAGUUAAAUAAAAACAUAUUUUUGACUAGAGAUUGGAAGAAUGAGGGUGUAAAGGUUAGAGUUAAACAGCGAUCUAUGGAAAGCAUCAACUAACACAAAGUCUAACACAGCUGUGGAUCCAGAACUGUUACCAGACAUUGGCUGACAUGAUGUGAAUCUCAGCAGGCAUCAGAGACGUUCCUCUAGUACUGUACUGUUGUCCUUCCGCGGGACGGAGAGCAUACUUCACCAGAGACAGUUUCCCUACCCACCACUCCCCCUUUUUGGCCCUGGCGUUCCCCUGUACUGGGGCAUAUAAUGGACACAGAGUGUGUAUCUGAAUGUAAUUUUGUCAAAGUGAGCAUAAGACUUUUAUAUUACAGAAACAAAGAAAUUAAGUGAUAAUAUAUUAAGGCCAUUCAAGGUACAUUGAAGUUAUCUGAUGCAAAAUUACUUUUACACACAACAGAGGAAUGCGUACUUAAAAGCUAACAGUAACCAACUGGUAUAAAAUCAAUGUUAACAAUUGGGGUCAAAAACAGCCCCACCUAAGGUCAGCUUAAUCUUAGAAGUCAGGGGCCAGGGCUUCAUGCCAUUUCCAUAGUUCCAAUUCUAGCCUAUUGUAUAGUCCACCUUCCCCCUAGGCCAUUGUAAAUUCCUGUAUA